GACGAACGCUGGCGGCGUGCUUAACACAUGCAAGUCGAACGGAAAGGCCCUGCUUUUGUGGGGUGCUCGAGUGGCGAACGGGUGAGUAACACGUGAGUAACCUGCCCUUGACUUUGGGAUAACUUCAGGAAACUGGGGCUAAUACCGGAUAGGAGCUCCUGCUGCAUGGUGGGGGUUGGAAAGUUUCGGCGGUUGGGGAUGGACUCGCGGCUUAUCAGCUUGUUGGUGGGGUAGUGGCUUACCAAGGCUUUGACGGGUAGCCGGCCUGAGAGGGUGACCGGCAAAAGUGGGACUGAGAAGCGGCCCAGGCUCCAACGGGGGGCAAAGGGGGGGAAGAUUGAAGAAGGGGGGGAAGCCGGAUGCAGAACCGCCGGGGGGGGGAGGAGGGCCUUCGGGUUGGAAACAGCUUUCGCCUGUGAAGAAACGUGAGGGAGGGUAAUGGGUAAAGAAGCACCGGCUAACUACGG
rnacentral:rRNA from 1 species